CACGUAGGGUGCGAGCGUUGUCCGGAAUUAUUGGGCGUAAAGAGCUUGUAGGCGGUUUGUCGCGUCUGCCGUGAAAAUUCGAGGCUCAACCUCGAACUUGCGGUGGGUACGGGCAGACUAGAGUGUGGUAGGGGAGACUGGAAUUCCUGGUGUAGCGGUGGAAUGCGCAGAUAUCAGGAGGAACACCGAUGGCGAAGGCAGGUCUCUGGGCCGCAACUGACGCUGAGGAGCGAAAGCAUGGGGAGCGAACAGG
rnacentral:rRNA from 1 species